rnacentral:rRNA from 1 species
UACAGAGGGGGCAAGCGUUAUUCGGAAUUAUUGGGCGUAAAGGGCGCGUAGGCGGCCUGGCAAGUGGAAGGUGAAAUCCCUCGGCUUAACCGAGGAACUGCCUUCCAAACUGCUUGGCUUGAGUCCGGGAGAGGUGAGUGGAAUUCCCAGUGUAGCGGUGAAAUGCGUAGAUAUCUGGAGGAACACCGGUGGCGAAGGCGGCAUCCUGGACCGGCAUUGACGCUGAGGCGCGAAAGCCAGGGGAGCAAACAGG